rnacentral:rRNA from 1 species
UGGGGAAUUUUGCGCAAUGGGGGAAACCCUGACGCAGCAACGCCGCGUGGAGGAUGAAGGGCUUCGGCUCGUAAACUCCUUUCGAUCGGGACGAGAAGAAGACGGUACCGGAAGAAGAAGCCCCGGCUAACUACGUGCCAGCAGCCGCGGUAAUACGUAGGGGGCGAGCGUUGUUCGGAAUUAUUGGGCGUAAAGCGCGUGUAGGCGGUUUGGUAAGGCGGAUGUGAAACCCCAGGGCUCAACCCUGGGCCGGCAUCCGCGACUGCCAGGCUGGAGUGUGGGAGGGGAGAGCGGAAUUCCUGGUGUAGCGGUGAAAUGCGUAGAUAUCAGGAGGAACACCGGUGGCGAAGGCGGCUCUCUGGACCAUAACUGACGCUGAGACGCGAAAGCUAGGGGAGCAAACAGGAUUAGAUACCCCCGUAGUCC